GGUACCACGCUGGAAUUCACUGAGCUCCUGAGAGCGACCCGUUCUUUCACUAAUGUGUGUAGAAGCAGUCUGCAUGCCGAGGUGCUCGGUUUUAUUCACCUGUGGUCAUGGAAGUGAUUGGAACACCUGAAUUCAAUCAUUUGGAUGGACAGGAUGAACCUGAGAUAUUUCAUGUUUUAUCUGCUGCCUGCAGUCCUGACCUGCCCCCAAAAGAGAAUUUUGAAAGGAAAAAUGCGACAGCGACGAGGAGCUUGUACUGUUGCACAUGUUCAGACGUGUUUGCAGGAAGAACGAGACAAAAUAAAAGUCAAGUCAAUAAGCUUCAGUAUUCUUCUUCUUACCCCUGAUGUGGUGUCAGAAUCUUUCUGAAUUUCAGUGGUGGUGUCAUGGACUGGUCACUCUUCAUGGACAUACAGGUGGAUUCUGGGAAGUCUGAUCUCUGAUCCUGAAUCACACUGAGUGGUGGUGUCAUGGACUGGUCACUCUUCAUGGACAUACAGGUGGAUUCUGGGAAGUCUGAUCUCUGAUCCUGAAUCACACUGAGGU